AACGAACGCUGGCGGCGUGGAUUAGGCAUGCAAGUCGAGCGAGAAUCGCAACGGGGUAACCUGAAGCGAGGACAGCGGCGAAAGGGUGAGUAAUAAGUAGUCAACCUACCUCCUCGUCCGGGAUAACGUCGAGAAAUUGGCGCUAAUACCGGGUAGUCUCCACUGAUCGCAUGAUCUUGUGGAGUAAAGAUAGCCUCUCGUAGAAAGCUUUCGCGAGUAGAGGGGGCUACUUCCUAUUAGCUUGUUGGUGAGGUAACGGCUCACCAAGGCUGUGAUGGGUAGCCGGCCUUAGCGGGUGAUCGGCCACACUGGGACUGAGACACUGCCCAG
rnacentral:rRNA from 1 species